UGUUCGGAACAUCCGAUAACUUUAUGCAGACACGCAUUUGUAUAUGUACAUCAACCAACAUUUGUAUAUGUAAAGGCAGUGAAUGCAGUGCUGUGAACAGUAUAACAUGAGCAAUCCGUUAAUUGAGACAGUACAGUGUGUCUGUGGCCUAGCUCGAGAACGUACCACAUCCGACAACCCACUCUGAUUUUUUAUAUAGAUAAAAGUAAAACUGCGUACAACCAUACAAACGUUAUCAUAUCGAGAUAGGAAAGUUAAUUGAUUCGUGGUCGCCACCCACUCAGGAGUGCCAAAGAGCCUUAUGGAAUCUAAAUUUUCUUGUUCCUACCCUUAAUAUCCCAGUUGUAAUCCUACGCUGCGAAGUCGUACAAAGUGAACAGGAAAAAAUAGAAGUAAAAAUGGACAGACAGAGAAUAGGAAUAGUAGGAUAGGGGAAAGGAGGGGGAAAAAGGGGGAGUUUAGGGGGAGAGGAUCUAGGGGGGCCGACUACAGUGCCAUUUAUGAGACACUGCCAAGUUGAUGGGCCAUAUUAGGUAUGUUUAAUGGGACAAUUCAGUGUAAGAUUAUCUCCUAGGGGGAUCCUUAAAGUCAAACUCCCCUUUUCAAGUGAGUUUGCCACGAGUUCCUAGAGGAACCUGCUUGCAAGCCUUCUGCCCACAUACUAUGGACCUUGUAAAAUGUGAUAUAAAAGUCUCCGUUUGUGUAUUUUCACUAUAUGGUUCAGGAACUGAAGAGCUGCACGAACCGGAGACCACCCUGGAGCUUGUUAAGCCUAAUUGUUACUUUGUAACAAUUUCCACCUCAGUGUUCUAAGUGUUCGUCUCGGUGGCCGCAAUUCCUUUGGAUGACCACAAGGUGGCCAUCAUCUUGUUCGCAUGAAUGCAAGCAACGGUGUUUGGUUGUUGAGUUCAUGGAACUAUUUUCAGAUACUGAAACUCCCGAACACCGCUGGACUUCAAUGAUUGCCUACGUUCGAUUUAACAACACUUAGCUAGACACUGUUCGGUGAAAUCUUUCCCAAGAACAAGGGGAACAAGCUCCAGGGUAAGACUAUUGACUAUGUUCGGUAGUUUGUUUAUUUUUAAACUACCGAACUAGACUGACCACAAGCCUUGAUUCUCUUGAACGGUUUUGGGCAUGGGACCAUGCGUGUGGUCAGUCAAACAAAUGACAUCCAGGAAAUUCCUGAACUGAUUUGGGUGAUUUUUGGAUAUGUUGGUCACCCAGAUCAGUUUUGCUCUGCCCGGGACCUUCUCCUGUCUGCUGCUCGCACCCGUACAGCCAACUUACGCUUGCAGGACUUCUCGCGGUGGCUCUUUUCCUUUGGAAUAGCCUGCAAAAGUUCAUUUAUUUCAGUAAUGAAACGUAAAAGGGGAAACUUAUAUAUGAGAUAAAAGCAUUACAUGCAAAGCAAGAUAGUUCAAGCCCUGAUUUGUCAUAAGUGCGAUGAUUAUGGCUUACAGCUCAUGAAAACCCCAAAUCCACAAUCUCUGUAAAUUAGAAUAUUACAUGCAAUCAAUAAAACAAGGAGUGUACAUAGAACAAUAUCGGACUGCUAAAAAGUAUAAGCAUGCAUAUGGACUCAGUACUUGGUUUGGGCCCCUUUUGCAGCAAUUACUGCCUCAAUGCAGUGUGACAUGGAAGCUAUCAGCCUGUGGCACUGCUGAGGUGUUAUGGAAGACCAGGAUGCUUCAAUAGCGGCCUUCAGCUCUUCUGCAUUGUUCGGUCUCAUCUUUCUCUUGGCAAUUCCCCAUAGAUUCUCUAUGAGGUUCAUGUCAGGCGAGUUUGCUGGCCAAUCAAGUACAGUAAUCCCACGGUCAUUGAACCAGGCUUUGGUGCUUUUGGCAGUGUGGGCUGGAAAAUGAAGUCAGCAUCCCCAUAAAGCUCGUCUGCGAAAGGAAGCAUGAAGUGCUCCAAAAUCUCCUGGUAGCCAGCUGUGUUGACCCUGGACUUAAUGAAGCACAGUGGACCAACACCAGCAGAUGACAUGGCUCCCCAAAUCAACACAGACUGUGGAAACUUCACACUGGACUUCAAGCAUUUUGCAGUGUGUGCCUCUCCAUUCUUCCUCCAGACUCUGGGUCCUUGGUUUCCAAAUGAGAUGCAAAAGUUGCUCUCAUCAGAAAAGAGGACCAGGUCUGUUUUUCUUUAGCCCAGUUAAAACGCUUCUGAUGUUGUUAGUUGUUCAGGAGCGGCUCGACAAGAGGAAUACGACAUCUGAAGCCCAUGUCCAGGAUCCGUCUGUGUGUGGUGGCUCUUGAUCCACUGACACCAGCCUCAGUCCACUCCUUGUGAAAGUCCCCAACACUUUUGAAUGGCCUUUUCCUGACAAUCCUCUCCAGGCUGCGGUCAUCCUUGCUGCUUGUGCACCUUUUUCUUCCACAUAACUCUCUAUUAAUGUGCUUUGAUACAGCACUUUGGGAACAUCCAAUUUCCUUCGCAAUUACCUUUUGAGGCUUUCUCUCCUUAUGGAGGGUGUCAAUAAUGGUUUUCUGCACAACUGUCAGGUCAGCAGUCUUCUCCAUUAUUGUGAUUCCUACUGAACCAGACUGAGAGACCAUUUAAAGGCUCAGAAACCAUUUGCAGGUGUUAUGGCUUACUUAGCUGAUUAGAGUGGGACACUGAGUCUAGAAUAUUGCACCUUUUUCACAAUAUUCUAAUUUACUGAGUUUGUGGAUUUGGGGUUUUCAUGAGCUAUAAGUCA